AAUAUCGGAGCAGGGCGAAGGAAACGAAUGGUGCGGGGACCGGCAAAUAGGGACGGCGAUUCCGGGGGGGGGGGGGACAGGCAAUUAAAUAGAAGGAACGCCGAUUCAAGAGAUCCUUCUCCUCAUCUCUGCUUCUCUGGCGUCAUCGCUACCAGGCACACUCUCUCUUCUCCAUCUCUCAGCUGAUAGGUUGAUGUGCAAUUAUACAGUGCAAAGAUAAGGUUUGCGACCAAAAUUUCAGAAAGGGCUCAGUGAUGUUGGAAGGUCAUAUUAUAGGGCAGGGUGUGUGAUCAAAAUUGCAAAAAAAGAUAAGGUUAUGAAAGAGCUGAAUUUAUUGAGAGGGAAAUGCAACGGAUGGCCAAACAAAUAAAAUCAAUUAUUCAAAAAGUAAAUUCUAGUCAGGUACAUCUCUACAAGAUUUCGAAUUAGUCAUAGCCUUCUUAGCUACCAGUGCUCUGCAUAUUUUGUUUAGUUGGGUGACCUUGAUGUGGUUGAUGGUAUGACUCCUAUUGAUGUUGCCGUUCGACUAUUAAACAAUCAACUAAGUUCACUAAUGUGGAUCGAUGAAAAGACUUGAUUCAUCAGCUGAUGCACAAGCAGAAUUAUGCAUCUGUUUUGUUUCAUGGUGUGCACGUUAGAGUCCUGAUCAGGCUAAUGAAUUCGAUUCAGAGACUGGCCAAUUGUGGUGCUGUUGUGGAAGGCAAUUUGACAGCUUCAAGGUUCUGGUUGAAUUGACUACGGAUGCUUAAGGGAUAAAGUUGCCAUGCAUUGAUCGGAGACACAUUCUAAUUUGCAGCUUAAAAUCAUGGGAUAUUCCUCCUAUUUCUUUUUGAAUAUUAACCAGUAUCCAGUAAAUAUUCACUUUAUGUUGUAUGGUGGCAAUCGAUGUGCAAGACAUGGACAUUUGGAAACGUCUCACGGGAAGUUGUAGUUUUUUCCAAUUUUCACGUGUAUUUUUUUGGUAGAAGGCAGGCAUGCAUUUGAAAGAUGUAUGCUUUCAUAACUCGAAAUUCCUUAGUUGCUUUUGUUCUUAGUGGUAUGCGAAAAUUUUAGAACUGUAUAUUAUGGGCAUGCAUGAGCAGUUGACAAUGUAUAAAGCGUGAAUCCCAAGCCCUUGGCUCGUGCUGCGUGCCACCGUCGCCCCCUACGCUUCACAACCAAGCCUGACAGCUGGAUCCAUCUCAAACUGUAAUUAAUGUACUUUCAUUAGUUAUGCCU